rnacentral:rRNA from 1 species
AUGAAUGCUGGCGACGUGGAUGAGUCAUGCAAGUCGAGCGCCCCGCAAGGGGAGCGGCAAACGAGGUAGUAAUGCGCAGGUACGAACCGAAGAGUCGGGCAUAGUCCGCCGAAAGGCGGGGUAAUUCCCGAUAGUCCCUCCGGGGUAAAGGAGCAAUCCGCUCUUUGAUCGGCCUGCGUCGCAUCAGCUAGUUGGUAAGGUAACGGCUUACCAAGGCUACGACGCGUAGGGGAGCUGAGAGGCUGACCCCCACCGAUGGAACUGAGACACGGUCCAUACACCUACGGGUGGCUGCAGACGAGAAUAUUCCGCAAUGGGCGAAAGCCUGACGGAGCGACGUCGCGUGACUGAUGAAGUCCUUCGGGACGUAAAGGUCUUUUAUGCGUGAGGAAGUAAUUGACGUUAGCGCAUGAAUAAGGGGCUCCUAACUCUGUGCCAGCAGGAGCGGUAAUACAGAGGCCCCGAGCAUUAUCCGGAAUCACUGGGCGUAAAGGGUGUGCAGGCGGCUUAGUUAGUCUUUUGUGAAAGGUCUCGGGCUUAACCCGGGAACCGCAGGAGAAACGGCUAGGCUUUGAGGACGCGAGAGGUAGAGGGAACCCAUGGUGUAGGGGUGAAAUCCGUUGAUAUCAUGGGGAACACCAAAUGCGAAGGCACUCUACUGGCGCGCUCCUGACGCUCAUACACGAAAGCGUGGGAAUCGAACGGGAUUAGAUACCCCGGUAGUCCACGCCCUAAACGAUCACAACUGGCUUUGCGGAGUAUCGACCCUCUGCGAGGCGAAGCUAACGCGUUAAGUUGUGCGCCUGGGUAGUACGAUCGCAAGAUUAAAACUCAAAGGAAUAGACGGGGACUUGCACAAGCGGUGGAUCAUGCGGCUCAAUUCGAUGAUAAACGAAAAACCUCACCAGGGUUUGAAACCCACACGACAGGCUAGGAAACUAGCUCUUCGCAAGACGGGUGGGCAGGUGAUGCAUGGUCGUCGUCAGUUCGUGGCUUGAGUUGUUCCCUUCAGUGGGGUAACGAACGCAACCCGCGUUGCCUGUUUUAUAUGUCAGGCGAGACUGCCCCCUCACGGGGGAGGAAGGUGCGGAUGACGCCAGAUCAGCAUGUCCCUCUGAUAUCCUGGGCUGCACGCAUGAUACAAUGGUCAUGACAACGGGUCGCGACGGGGGUAACCCUGAGCUAAUCCUUAUAAACAUGGCCCCAGUUCGGAUUGAGGUCUGCAACUCGACCUCAUGAAGCCGGAAUCGCUAGUAAUCGCGGGUCAGCUAUACCGCGGUGAAUACGUUCUCAAGUCUUGUACUCACCGCCCGUCAACUCAAGGGAGCCGGGAGUACCUGAAGUGCGCCUCACGGCGUAUCACGGUAAAUUCGGUGACAGGGAGU